rnacentral:rRNA from 1 species
AUGAACGCUAGCUACAGGCUUAACACAUGCAAGUCGAGGGGCAGCAUGGUCUUAGCUUGCUAAGGCUGAUGGCGACCGGCGCACGGGUGAGUAACACGUAUCCAACCUGCCGUCUACUCUUGGCCAGCCUUCUGAAAGGAAGAUUAAUCCAGGAUGGGAUCAUGAGUUCACAUGUCCGCAUGAUUAAAGGUAUUUUCCGGUAGACGAUGGGGAUGCGUUCCAUUAGAUAGUAGGCGGGGUAACGGCCCACCUAGUCAACGAUGGAUAGGGGUUCUGAGAGGAAGGUCCCCCACAUUGGAACUGAGACACGGUCCAAACUCCUACGGGAGGCAGCAGUGAGGAAUAUUGGUCAAUGGGCGAUGGCCUGAACCAGCCAAGUAGCGUGAAGGAUGACUGCCCUAUGGGUUGUAAACUUCUUUUAUAAAGGAAUAAAGUCGGGUAUGCAUACCCGUUUGCAUGUACUUUAUGAAUAAGGAUCGGCUAACUCCGUGCCAGCAGCCGCGGUAAUACGGAGGAUCCGAGCGUUAUCCGGAUUUAUUGGGUUUAAAGGGAGCGUAGAUGGAUGUUUAAGUCAGUUGUGAAAGUUUGCGGCUCAACCGUAAAAUUGCAGUUGAUACUGGAUGUCUUGAGUGCAGUUGAGGCAGGCGGAAUUCGUGGUGUAGCGGUGAAAUGCUUAGAUAUCACGAAGAACUCCGAUUGCGAAGGCAGCCUGCUAAGCUGCAACUGACAUUGAGGCUCGAAAGUGUGGGUAUCAAACAGGAUUAGAUACCCUGGUAGUCCACACCGUAAACGAUGGAUACUAGGUGUAGGAAAUGAUUUCAUUUUCUGUGCCGUCGCAAACGCAAUAAGUAUCCCACCUGGGGAGUACGGCCGCAAGGUUGAAACUCAAAGGAAUUGACGGGGGCCCGCACAAGCAGUGGAGUAUGUGGUUUAAUUCGAAGCAACGCGAAGAACCUUACCAAGGCUUGACAUAUACAGGAAUAUUUAAGAGAUUAAAUAGCUCUUCGGAGUCUGUAUACAGGUGGUGCAUGGUUGUCGUCAGCUCGUGCCGUGAGGUGUCGGCUUAAGUGCCAUAACGAGCGCAACCCUUGUUGUCAGUUACUAACAGGUGAUGCUGAGGACUCUGACAAGACUGCCAUCGUAAGAUGUGAGGAAGGUGGGGAUGACGUCAAAUCAGCACGGCCCUUACGUCCGGGGCUACACACGUGUUACAAUGGGGGGUACAGAGGGCCGCUACCACGCGAGUGGAUGCCAAUCCCUAAAACCCCUCUCAGUUCGGACUGGAGUCUGCAACCCGACUCCACGAAGCUGGAUUCGCUAGUAAUCGCGCAUCAGCCACGGCGCGGUGAAUACGUUCCCGGGCCUUGUACACACCGCCCGUCAAGCCAUGGGAGCCGGGGGUACCUGAAGUGCGUAACCGCGAGGAUCGCCCUAGGGUAAAACUGGUGACUGGGGCU